rnacentral:rRNA from 1 species
ACCCAGACUCCUACGGGAGGCAGCAGUGGGGAAUAUUGCACAAUGGGGGGAACCCUGAUGCAGCGACGCCGCGUGGGUGAAGGAGCACCUCGGUGCGUAAAGCCCUAUCAGCAGGAAAGAAAAUGACGGUACCUGACUAAGAAGCCCCGGCUAACUACGUGCCAGCAGCCGCGGUAAUACGUAGGGGGCAAGCGUUAUCCGGAUUUACUGGGUGUAAAGGGAGCGUAGACGGCAGUGCAAGUCCGGAGUGAAAGCCCGGGGCUCAACCCUGGGACUGCUCUGGAAACUGUAAAGCUGGAGUGCGGGAGGGGCAGGCGGAAUUCCUAGUGUAGCGGUGAAAUGCGUAGAUAUUAGGAGGAACACCGGUGGCGAAGGCGGCCUGCUGGACGACGACUGACGCUGAGGCUCGAAAGCGUGGGGAGCAAACAGGAUUAGAUACCCCUGUA